rnacentral:rRNA from 1 species
CCUACGGGUGGCAGCAGUGAGGAAUAUUGGUCAAUGGGCGUAAGCCUGAACCAGCCAAGUCGCGUGAGGGAUGAAGGUCCUAUGGAUCGUAAACCUCUUUUAUCAGGGAAUAAAGUGUGGGACGUGUCCUAUUUUGUAUGUACCUUAUGAAUAAGGAUCGGCCAACCCCGGGCCAGCCACCCCGGUAAUGAGGAGGAUCCGAGCGUUUUCCGGAGUUAUUGGGGUUAAAGGGUGCGUAGGGGGGCUUUUAAGUCAGGGGGGAAAGUCUGUGGCUCAACCAUAGAAUUGCCGUUGAAACUGGCGGUCUUGAGUAUGUUUGAGGCAUGCGGAAUGCGUGGUGUAGCGGUGAAAUGCAUAGAUAUCACGCAGAACCCCGAUUGCGAAGGCAGCCUACC